GGGGUCCUGGGGUGCUGGGAUUUGGGAUUUGAGGAGUCCCGGGUUUUGGGGUCCCAGUUCUGGGGUUUGGGGGGUCCCG